UAAUGCCAGGGUCAAAAGGUCAUUCAAUGCAUGCUCGCAUGCAAUUGAAUGACUUUGGGACCCGUAAAACAUGAGAAAGUAGCCCGAUUAGGGCGGAUUUCGAAUGUUUUUAGGAUUUUGGGAGCACGAAGUGCGGAGAAAUCCGUAGGCAUCA
rnacentral:sRNA from 1 species